CUGUAUUUUAUAGGUUUUACAGUAAUUGUGUAUAUUUUUAUAUUUAGUUUAUAGUGUUGUAUUUUGUAUAGGAUAUGACUUAUAUUGAUUAAUUAAAGGUAUGAGUAUAUUAAUUACAGAUUGUAAUUAAUUGAUUAAUAUAUUUAUUUUCAUAGUUCAUUUUAUUUGCUUAUUUGACAGUUGGACUUAUUGACAGACGACAUUUUCUACUGGUUUGGGUAACUUUGGUUUCACUGUAUUUUACUUCAAAGGCUUUCUUUUCAUGGUUCAUUGGACCGCACACUUUCUUUAUUUCUAUUGGUCUUAUGUUUUGGCGCUAUAUUUCUUUUGUUCUUUAUACUGGUUAUCACUUUUGAUAUAAUGGUGGACAUAGACAUUUGUGUCUGAUAUAAUUCUAAGUUUGAGUAACAUUCUUUCUUAGUGUUCUAUAUUCUAUAUACAGGUCAGUUAUCUUUCUCUAUUACUAAUUAUAUGUUAAUAGUCCAGAUAUUUAUUAUUUUACCUAGAAUGAAUGUUUAGAAUGAAAGACCGAUGCGUAAAUGUUGAAUGCGAGAUGAAUGCUUUAAAAUGAUAUAAAAUAGAUAAAGUACAGUAAAGUAUUAUCUGUUUGAUUAAAUGGUUUAAGAGACGUUAUUUUCAUAUUUUCAUAAAUAAAGUACUUUUAACUAAUUUGGUAAAGAAUUAAUUUAAUACACACUGUAUGAGAAUUCGAGUGUUCCGGUACGAAUGCUUUAAAUACUUUUAAAGGUAAAGAUAUAAACGUAAUAAAAGUUAUGUGGUAUUGAUUGAUUAUUUUAACUAAGAGUACAUAUCGUAAACAGGUGGAUUAUUACAGUAAAACAUGGAUUACAAUUUGUUUAUUUGUUAUACAGGUAUAUUUUAAGUAAUCCUGGGAAGAUGUGAUUAAAUUCCAAUUAGAUAAUUCAGGAGGCCUUUGCACCUCAUGCGAGGGUAUUUAUUUAGUUAUUGUUAUUAUCCUGAUUUUGUCAAGAAAUAAAACGAAUCCACCUCAGAAGAAAGUAUUGUUUUAUUAGCCCUAGAAAGUGCUACUACAUAAUUUGGCGCCCACAAAGAGUUAUUUCUGUGACAACGUUGAUAUAUCUACGAUUGGAAUUCUUGGAUUGAAGAAACCGUACGGUGAAAGUUGUUCGAACGCACCCGACCUAGUUAUUGGCCAACGUCCGGUUCAUAUGAACGAAGAAAAGGUAAACAGAAAUCGACAUGUGAUUGGAAUUCUGAAACAACUUUUCUUGAUUUAUACUGAUAUUGUAAGUUGAAUUAAUAUGUUUAUAUGAAUUGAAUUUGUGUAUAUUACAUUACAUUAUAUAACCGCAAGAGUAAUUUGCGAUAAUUUUAUACUGAAACUAGAAUUUAAGAGCAGAUUUGUGUUGUUAAAAAAAAAUAUUGUGGUACAUAUUUAUGCAUUGAAAGUUGUAUAGUACAUAGACUGAAAACUUAUGCAUUGGAUGUAUAGUGGUUGUUGCUUACAGUGAGACAUACUUUGUGAACUUAGGUUGAUUGAAUAUAGGUAUUUUUUUUCAGAGACUUAGAUAAAUUUUUUUUUCUCUUUGAUACUUGACCUACUUACCCCCCCCCCCCC